AACGAACGCUGGCGGCAGGCUUAACACAUGCAAGUCGAACGCCCCGCAAGGGGAGUGGCAGACGGGUGAGUAACGCGUGGGAAUCUACCCAGAUCUACGGAACAACAGUUGGAAACGACUGCUAAUACCGUAUACGCCCUACGGGGGAAAGAUUUAUCGGAUUUGGAUGAGCCCGCGUAAGAUUAGCUAGUUGGUGGGGUAAUGGCCUACCAAGGCGACGAUCUUUAGCUGGUCUGAGAGGAUGAUCAGCCACACUGGGACUGAGACACGGCCCAGACUCCUACGGGAGGCAGCAGUGAGGAAUAUUGGACAAUGGGCGCAAGCCUGAUCCAGCCAUGCCGCGUGAGUGAUGAAGGCCUUAGGGUUGUAAAGCUCUUUCAGCAGGGAAGAUAAUGACGGUACCUACAGAAGAAGCCCCGGCUAACUUCGUGCCAGCCGCCGCCGUAACAC
rnacentral:rRNA from 1 species